CCCGCCCGCCGCUCCCCCCACAGCUCUCCGCGCUUUCGGGCCCAAGCACUGCCCCCGGCAGGUGGACGCCCGCCCCUCCCCGGGCUGCCCUCCGCGCCGCGCUACCUCCCCUUCCUCCCCUGGGUCUCGGUCCCGGUGCGUCGGUCCUUUGGUCCCGAGGUCGGCAUGGCGCGCGCCCUGGGGCCCCAGCGACGGCUCCUGGCCAUCUACACCGGCGGCACGAUCGGCAUGCGGAGCGAGCAGGGCGUGCUCGUCCCUGGGAGUGGCCUGGCCGCUGUCCUGAGGUCACUGCCUAUGUUCCAUGAUGAAGAGUACGCCCGGGCCUCUGGCCUCCCGGAGGACACACUGGUGCUGCCAACCACCAACAGCCCCCUUUCAAGUGAGCCUCGGACUCCCCCACCUCGGGGUCCCCAGCACAUGUGGAUGCAAGCUCAUCAAGAGAGGCGGAGGCUGUCUCCCCUCGUGCCCGCCAGCCCCGACCAGAGAGUCAUCUACACGGUGCUGGAGUGCCAGCCCCUCUUUGACUCCAGUGACAUGACCAUCACUGAGUGGGUUCAGAUCGCUCAGACCAUCGAGAGACACUACGGGCAGUACGACGGCUUCCUGGUCAUUCACGGCACGGACACCAUGGCCUUUGCGGCCUCCGUGCUCUCCUUCGUGCUGGAGAACCUGCAGAAAACUGUCAUCCUCACGGGCGCCCAGGUGCCCAUCCAUGCCCUGUGGAACGACGGCCGGGAGAACCUGCUGGGCGCCCUGCUCAUGGCGGGCCAGUACGUGAUCCCCGAGGUUUGCCUCUUCUUCCAGAAUCAGCUGUUUCGGGGCAACCGAGUGACCAAGGUGGACUCACGCAGGUUCGCAGCCUUCUGCUCCCCCCACCUGCCCCCUCUGGCCGUCAUGGGCACCGAUGUCACAAUCAACCGGGAGCUCGUGCGGAAGGCCCGAGGGAAGGCCCGGCUGGUGGUGCACAGCAGCAUGGAGCGCGACGUGGGCCUGCUGCGCCUCUACCCCGGGAUCCCCGCAGCCUUGGUCCGGGCCUUCCUGCAGCCCCCCCUGAAGGGCGUGGUCAUGGAGACCUUCGGCUCGGGGAACGGGCCCACCAAGCCAGACCUGCUGCGGGAGCUCCAGGCUGCGGCCGAGCGGGGCCUCAUCAUCCUCAACUGUUCCCACUGCCUGCAGGGGGCCGUGACCUCUGACUACGCAGCUGGCAUGGCCAUGGCGGGCGCCGGCAUUGUCUCUGGCUUCGACAUGACGUCGGAGGCCGCCCUGGCCAAGCUCUCCUACGUGCUGGGCCACCCUGGGCUAACCCUGGACGACAGGAAAGAGCUGCUGGCCAGGGACCUUCGGGGCGAGAUGACACUGCCCACGGGGGCCGAGCGCCGGCCCUCACUGAGUAGCAGCGCGCUGGGCCGGGGGGCUGCCCAACUCCUCACUCUCAGCCAGGAGGCUGACGCCAUACGGGAGGCACUGCUGCCUAGCCUGGCCUGUGCUGCAGCCCAUGCCGGUGACCUGGAGGUGCUGCAGGCGCUUGGGGACCUGGGCAAUGACCUGAGCCUAGAGAACUUUAACGGUCAAACUCCUCUGCACGCGGCCGCCCGGGGAGGCCAGUCUGGGGCGGUCACCAUGCUGCUGCGGAGAGGGGUGGACGUGGGCCCCCGAGACGAGGACGGACACAGCCCUCUGCUGCUGGCCGUGAAGGGCAGGGUGGCUCCAGGCCUGGCCCAGGCCAGUCGGCCUCUGGAAACCCACAGACGUCGGGGCCUGCUCUGGGACCUUCCGGUUCACGUCUGUCAGUGUCUCAUCCCUGCUCCCCUCCAAGGGCAGAGCGCAGGCCCAGCUGACUCUGCUUCCCCAGGCCCAGCCUUGACUGCAGCGGGCAUCGGGGUGUCAUUGAGCUGCUGCGGGCAGCUGGGGCCUGCCUGUCCCCCCAGGAGCUGGAGGACGCGGGGACAGAGCUGUGCAGGCUGGCGGCCAGGGCAGACCUCGAAGGCCUUCGAUCGUGGUGGCAGGCGGGGGCUGACCUGAGCAGCCCAGGCUACGACGGGCGCAGCGCCCUGUGUAUUGCAGAAGCAGCCGGGAACCUGGAAGUGGUGACCUUCCUGCAGAACCUCGAGGGUGGGGCCGGUGCCCAGGCCCCAGGCCCAGCCACACUGUGAUGCACGCUCUCACGGCGCUGGAAGGCCCCAGCCACGGCUAGGAGGUUCCUAGAGCCCGGAGGGGACCUCAGAUCCUUCUACUUUACGUCCUGCCUGCCCCGACCCCACCCCACCCCACAGGGCCAGUUCCCCACAUGGGGACCCCUUGGCCCAGCGCUCCCCCAUGAUUCCCAGGGUAGAUGGGCCAAGUCCCCAGCUCACACCUCCUUCCCCCACUCCAUCGUCUGACCACCCCGCAGGUUCUCAAGUCACCGGAUUUGCUCCGAUCCUCCGGUCCCUCCCUGGGAAGGGCUGGGCCCUACUGGUGAGGUGCCCGGGCUUGUCUCCCUGCCCCUCCCCCAUACGCUACCUGUGCUGCACGGGAGCAGUCUCCGGAGGCGGCCUAUUUUCAGGAAGUGCUGCCUAGUGUCUAGCCUGAAGCUGUCGUGCUGCAGCACAGAUCGGACCUGCUGGAGGAUCACAGCCCCCCCCCCCCGGACUCUGUGAUGUGUCCCCACUGCUGGGACUGCUUCCCUCUGCUUCCCAGACUGAAGAUUUUGUUGGGCGGAGUGGUAAUAAAAUCUCUCUGGGGACCCCUCCCUAGGUCUGGAA